rnacentral:lncRNA from 1 species
UGAGAAUCCAACAAAUUGGUCUUGAGUGUCAGAUGUACACUUUUUAAGCCAUCAGUAUCUAAAUGUAUAGUUGGAGUACAUUUAAUCAAUAAAUAAAGUGAUGAGAGUCUAUUACAGGGCACCAAAAGGACUGGCCUGAGAACAAAUCAGUAUCAUCUUCUAAUCUGUAUCUUCUAAUCUCAAUGUUCCUUCUUUAUAAUUUAUCUCUACUGACAUUUUUGAUUUCUUUUCCUUCUUAGAUGUACAGGUCUUGAAAGAAUUUUAGCCACAUCGGCUGCAGUUUCUCACAACACCUGUGUUCAAGUACACUCUGUUGAUCAGAUCUUCAGGGGAAGGACCAUUACAGCCUGCUCAGAUCUCUCAAGCCCUACUUGGCAAACAGGGUUCUUCAACUGGUCUUUUGAAGCAAGUUGUACCUACUGUCUUGACCACUGUGUGACCUUCUCCCUUCCUUCUGAUUCCUGUGGGUCUAUCCUGCUGAGCUGAGAGCUGGACCAGGAGCUACUGUCCUGUCCUCUCUUCUUUUCAACCUACAGGCAGUUCAGACUUCCAGCUUUUUCACAAGCCUCCUUUCUGCCACUGAGCCAUAAGCCCACUCCAUUUGUCAAUAUUCCAAUAGAGUCUCACUUGCACUGUGUUCUGUGAUUCUUUAUUAUAAGCAAGACUGGGCUAUUACUCCAGUACCCUUCAGUUUCUGUGUCAUUGCAAAUCAUAGGCAGCAACAAACUGUAGAAGUAGUACUUUGAGAGAUGAGCUUGUGAGUUUGAUGUUCAAGUGACAUAAUUACACUGUUUUUCCAGAGGUGGUUCCUCCCCUUUGUUC